GUCCAGACUCCUACGGGAGGCAGCAGUGGGGAAUAUUGCACAAUGGGGGGAACCCUGAUGCAGCAACGCCGCGUGGGUGAAGAAGUAUUUCGGUAUGUAAAGCCUUCUCAGCAGGGAAGAAGAUGACGGUACCUGACUAAGAAGCCCCGGCUAAAUACGUGCCAGCAGCCGCGGUAAUACGUAUGGGGCAAGCGUUAUCCGGAUUUACUGGGUGUAAAGGGAGCGCAGGCGGCGCGGCAAGUCAGAUGUGAAAGCCCGGGGCUCAACCCCGGGACUGCAUUUGAAACUGCCGUGCUGGAGUGUCGGAGAGGCAAGUGGAAUUCCUAGUGUAGCGGUGAAAUGCGUAGAUAUUAGGAGGAACACCAGUGGCGAAGGCGGCUUGCUGGACGAUAACUGACGCUGAGGCUCGAAAGCGUGGGGAGCAAACAGGAUUAGAUACCCGCGUAC
rnacentral:rRNA from 1 species